rnacentral:rRNA from 1 species
CGGAUUAAGGAAACCGGCGCACGGGUGCGUAACGCGUAUGCAACUUGCCCUUAUCAGGAGGAUAGCCCGGGGAAACUCGGAUUAAUACUCCAUAAGAUUUUGAUUGGCAUCGAUUAAAAUUGAAAGAUUUAUUGGAUAAGGAUAGGCAUGCGUCAGAUUAGUUAGUUGGUAGUGUAACGGACUACCAAGGCGAUGAUCUGUAGGGGGCCUGAGAGGGUGAACCCCCACACUGGUACUGAGACACGGACCAGACUCCUACGGGAGGCAGCAGUGAGGAAUAUUGGACAAUGGAGGGAACUCUGAUCCAGCCAUCCCGCGUGCAGGAAGACGGCCCUAUGGGUUGUAAACUGCUUUUGUAUGGGGAUAAAUCUACUUACGUGUAGGUAGUUGAAGGUACCAUACGAAUAAGCAUCGGCUAACUCCGUGCCAGCAGCCGCGGUAAUACGGAGGAUGCAAGCGUUAUCCGGAUUCAUUGGGUUUAAAGGGUCCGUAGGCGGGCUGAUAAGUCAGUGGUGAAAUUUUGUCGCUCAACGAUAAAACUGCCAUUGAUACUGUUAGUCUUGAGUGAUAUUGAAGUAGCUGGAAUGUGUAGUGUAGCGGUGAAAUGCAUAGAUAUUACACAGAACACCGAUUGCGAAGGCAGGUUACUAAGUAUUAACUGACGCUGAAGGACGAAAGCGUGGGGAGCGAACAGGAUUAGAUACCCUGGUAGUCCACGCAGUAAACGAUGCUAACUCGUUUUCGGG